AUACUUACCUGGCAGGGGCGAUUCCAUAGCAGGAAGGUGAUUUCCCCAGGGGUGAGGCUCACCCAUUGCACUCUGGUGUCCUGACCCCUGCGAUUUCCCCAAAUUUGGGGAAACUCGACUGCAUAAUUUAUGGUAGUGGGGGACUGCGUUCGUGCUCUCCCCUA